rnacentral:rRNA from 1 species
CACGUAGGGGGCAAGCGUUGUCCGGAUUUACUGGGCGUAAAGAGCUCGUAGGCGGUUCAGCAAGUCGGGUGUGACAAUUCCAGGCUCAACCUGGAGAGGUCAUUCGAUACUGCUGUGACUAGAGUCCGGUAGGGGAGUGUGGAAUUCCCGGUGUAGCGGUGGAAUGCGCAGAUAUCGGGAGGAACACCAGUGGCGAAGGCGGCACUCUGGGCCGGAACUGACGCUGAGGAGCGAAAGCGUGGGGAGCGAACAGG